rnacentral:lncRNA from 1 species
AGAGAGCAGCUAAUUGUGAAGCUUCAAAAUAUUCUUCAGCCACGUCUAUUUAGCUUCUGAUACAGCCAGCAAUCUUCUACUGCUUCCUCUACAGUCUGCAGAAAACCCAAACCCUAGUUUCACUAGAAGUUGUGAGAUGAAAAAGCUGGAACCGAUAGGGGUUUUGGGAUCAGAGUUCGAAAUUCGAUAAUGAAGCGACCAGGUUUGUGUUUUAGAUUUAUUUUCUUAUCACUAUUGAGCUGAUCACACUUUAGUGAAAUGCCCACCAUUGACUAUAUUGAAGCUCUGUGAUAAUUGCUUGGCCUUUGUGGAACCAUGCUUUCUAAUUGAAUCUUUUGUCAAAUAAUUGUGGUAUGUUUUAGCUGUAUGUCAAACAAUAUGAAACAGGUGGUGCUGGUUCUUUUAGUAAAGACGGAUAGACACUUGUGUUCUGUAUAAACUGUAUAAUGUUACAAUCUUAGUGAAUAUUCUUUCACCCACAACCCAAUCUUCCUCACAUUUCUUGUUCCUCCAUUUUCUUUGAAUCCCUAUGUGUAGGCUGGAGCAGAAGCAGGAGCAAGGGAAGGUCCUGCAGCAAACGGAGACGCCUGAGGAGCCACGGCUGAGCAUUCAUGGUCAUAGCAGUCUACAGGGUGGUCAAGUA